GUAAUCCUUAUCGAUGCCUGCUGGCGAGAGGCUAUCAAAGGGAGGAAGAUUGCAUGGCUUGUGAAGAUAAAGGGCUGGCUGUUCCGGGGCGUGGGCUUAUCAAGCUUUAGCGCCACAAGCAUGAUCUGCUGAAUUUGGAGUUUGCUGACCAGCCUGUCUCGUUGGAGUUCAUCAACCUGAGUCAGCAGAAGCCUCCAGCCUAACACCUGAGCGAUGGCCUUAGAACCUGAACUUGGCCUUGCUCACUUCUGCAACUGUGCGUGCCGCUUUUAAAUAUAAACUUCUCUCUCUUUGCUUUCGA